rnacentral:lncRNA from 1 species
GUAAAAAGCUCAGUAAAUUUGUUGUUUGACAUCUCACUCUGAGUACUGUGUGUUUCAUCUGCCUUCACUCUCACAAUUAUUAUCAACUUGCUGGCUAUAAAAGGCAGGGGCUACAAACUCAGUGAGCCAAAUGCAGUGCUUGCUUCCUAUCUGUGGUCCAUUGCAUAGCAGUGUGCUUGGGUGCUGCGUAAGACAAUUCCCCCCAACGCCUCCAAAAAAUAGGACAUGGUCCACUGCAGGAGUUCAUAAUCUAGGAGUCCAGAGAGUCCAGGCUCAUCAUCCCUUCAGAAGAAAGAAUCUUCAGGCCUCUGCUCUUGUGAGAGUAAUUUCUCUUAACACCGACAGUGCAGCAAUACAACUACCACCACCUUUCAAUUAUUGAGAGGCAAUCAUCUAAAGCAUUUGGCAAGUGAUCCACUUACGGAGCCAAGCUAAGGGAGCUGAAGAGAAGAGGCCGCCGCCCCAACCCAGGUGUUGUUAGUUAUCUAGCCUUUUGCAAAGCCUCUUCCGUUUCUACUCUGCUCUUUAAGCUAUUUCAUGCCUUGAAGAUGUCUCUACCAGGGAAAAUAAAGAGAUUCAGCUCUUCCCCCACCUCCUGCCUGUCUCCAAGACAGAGUGGGGCUGAUGACUGGAGGUGGGAAGGACUAGAGGAAGAUGCCACAAAAUUUAGCAACUGGGCCUGAAAUUCACCAUUCACACCAUCAAACUGGACUAACAGGAAAGAAGAUUAUCUACUCCAUGUGCUACUUUCUCUCGCAACUUUGAGCAAGAAUGUUAGAUCUUUUGCUGGGGGCCUUCGGAAGCCGUGAGGGAGCAUAUCCUGACACCCACAUAGAAGACCUGGUACCUAUGUUUCCACAUCACAAAGCAGGCCAACAAGCACACAAGGCCGCAGACCAAAUUAAGAAUCAUCUGGAUGAGUAAGAACAGUUUGAAAGUGCCAGUGACGCUGGUACAGUCCGUCACAUCCCGGUAAACAAAGGUCCUGCUGAGCGGCUCCGAGGAGGGCAGUUUGCACUGGCAAGAGUCGAGUGUGGUCUCACAGGUAAACUGUGUGAGCUGCGAAUAGUGGUGGGCGGCAAAGGCCACGGCCAGCACACAGACCGUCAGGCCCAGGGCACUCAGCAGAAAGUAUAACAGCUGCAAGAAAGCAGAAGAAAACCUUUCUGGUUACAAAGAACAUUGGAUGAUGAUUUGCAAAGCGAAUUCAUCAAAACUGUUCUUUUUCUUCCCUCCCAGAAAUUUUCUGAUGGAAAGGCUGUCUCUUCUUAGAAACACAACACCCAAGACAUGGAAAUAGCUCCAUGUUUAUUUAUUAGUGGGUAGUUCUUAAACCCUGAUCACAUUUUCACUUGCCAUCCAGAUGUUGGGCCCUUUUCAAGAGUUGUGACAACCAUAUUAGCUGGACUGUGGAAUGUUUUUGUCUAGAUAUUGCCAGCAGUUUAGAUGAAUCCCAAACAAGCUAGCCAUCCCUGGAUGACAUGUUGUGCUUAUUUUGAACUCAAGAACUUCUGAUAUUAAGACUGAAACAAGACUAGGAAGUAAAGAACAGGUUUUUGUAAUGCAAACACUGUGUGGGCCAAAAUUAGCAAUGAUGGGUCAACUAAUAGCAUAAGUUAAUUUUUUUAAAAGACUACAUUCAAUGUAGUGAUUGCCAAACUGUAUCCAUAAACAUGAGAAUCCCCAGUAGGAGGUUGCUGGGAGAAAAUAAAUUAUGGCUCCAGAAGUCAAGUGACUCAACGUCAGCUUCAUCGCCUGUGAAACUUACCCCAAGCCCAACAACGACCAUGUGAUUCCUGAGCCUGAAAAAACUCUAAAUGGUUCCUCAGUCACCAAGGUUUUGAACACUGUUGGCCUCCAGAUUAGCUUUGGGAUUGAAAAAGUCUGGUUAAAGUUCUCGCUCUGCUGCUACAGGGCUGUGGGAACUCUGAACAAUUUAGGGAUUUAGCUUACACCUAAAAUAUUCUGAGCAAAACUUGUGGGUGUUCACUGACAUGGCCACAAUAAAAUCUAUGGAACAAGAAAUAUUUUUGUGAUUGAACUCACCUACUAGAAAUGUUAAUCUUAAUGGUCCACCUGCUGAGACUCUAGAGCUGCUUGACAGGGUUGUCUGGGGAAUACAACCUUACCCUGUCAAAUGCCUUUCAAUGUUUUUCUUCUCCUUCCUUACCCCCGUUUCAUCGUGUACCUGCAAUGGGACUCUAUUUCUGUAAAAGCAAGAUAAAGGAACACAAAAUGUACUCUUUCCCUAAUUGGAUAAAGUGAGAAAGGUGAAAAUGGCGCAAAGCAUGAAACAUCAAGUAACAGUUCAUUCAAUAAAUGAUAACUGCUUAUUUGAUUCUGUAAAAUCAAGUAUAGAACUAUACACAUAAUUAAGGAGACAGGGUUACACAGUGGAUAUUAGAAAACCACCCAAUGGAACUGAUAAAAAUGAGUUGGAACUUGUGACCAGCAGCUGGAUGAGAGGAGUGUGAAUCCCCCAAAUCUUAUGGAUAUAGUGUGCUUUCUUUGAUGUUCCUGCCAAAGUGAGGCUGGAAAGCUAGGAAGAUCUGUAAGACGUGUGCCAGCACAAAGUGACUACAAUUCAAAAGUUCCAAAAACCUUGCUUGAAACAAUUGCAAAUAGCUCAUCAUUUUAAACCAGUGAACCCAAGGCUGAGUGUUUCAUCAAUUUACAGAAAACCAAGAAGAGAAAUCUGACAGCUAUCCCAGUGUAUGACUUACCAUGGAGAUCUUCAAAUAGAAUCACUUUGGUUUGGGUCUCAUUUUCAUAUUAUAACACAAAUUUGUGUAUGUGGGUUAAGAUUCAUAUUUGAUAGGAACUGCUGGGAAUUCUUGCAGUUAUAUCCUCAAAAGACAAAAUAAGCAUAACCAACAGAAUUGUGAAGCAAUAAAGUUGAUUAUGGAUGAAAACUGGGCUGAACAGUCAUAGGACAUGACUUGUUCCUUUGACCUAAAAUGUGCUUUUCUUUCCUUAUCUACCCAGUGUAAUGGUACUACUCUUUCAACCAUCUUGAAUUCACUCACACUUAUUCGUCAAAUCCUGCUCAGCUAUUCCCACUACCCACAAAGUGUACCUUUUUCGUAUUCCUUACUUUUUAUACAUUAGCUCAUUUUCCCCCAAACAAUGCAAUAAAGUAAAAAAUAUUACUCUAUUUUAUAGAAACUUGCAGCUCAGAAAGGAUAAGAAACUUGCAAGUUGAUCCAAAAUAAAUUUCUAAAAAGCAUCAAAAGGUUUCAUUUCUGCAUAAUAUUAAGGACUAAAUUAUAGGAAAACUCUCUCCCUAUAAAACACUGUAAAAUGCUGGAUAAAACGUAGCAUCCCUUAUAAAAUGAAAAAACAAUUAGCCCACUAGCACUGGAAGUCAUCAAGAAAAUUGUUCUGUCUCAACAGAUGCAGGGGGGCAGUUUGAGGUUUUUCUACUACUUUCCUAGUCCUGGAACCUAUUAAGAUGAGAAAGUAACAUGAAAGUGAUCCUGAAAAAAUAAACCAAAACCUGGCUAUUUCAAUAAAUAAAUUGUAAGGGGGAGAGAGACAGAGACAGAGAGAGAGAGACACAGAGAGAGAGAAUAGAAAGGAGAGACAAAGGGUAAAUUUUUGAGUAAAGGAAAUGUUAGAAAUAUAUGAGUCAACUGCAGUGUAUAGAUCUUAUUGAGAUCCUGAUUUUGACAAAUCUAGGAGGAACUAUUAAUGAGUUAAUCAUGGAUAUUUAAACAGUGGUUUGAUUCUAUUAAGAAAUUAACUUGUUAGGUGUAUUAUUAGUAUAUUGAUUAUUUUUUAGUCUUCAUCUUUCGACUUACAUAGCAAAAUAUUUAUAAAUAAAAUGAUAUAAAGUCUGGGAUUUAGUGCAAAAUAAUCCACUGUGUAGUGUGUGUAGUGUGUGGGUGUGGAGGAAAUAUAGGAGCAUACAGAUAAGACAAGAUUGAGCAUGAGUUGAUAGUUAUCAAGGCUCGGUGAUGAGAAUAUAGAGGUUCAUUAUACAAUUGUAUCUACUCUUGUGUAUGCUUGAAAUUUUUCAUAAUAAGUAAGUUAAGGAAACAAAGUGGUUCUAGGCCUGUAACAUCACUGGGACAUAUGGCAAGACAAACCCAUCUGGAAGGGUUGUACUCUCAAAUAGGCUAUAUCAAGUUAUCAUACAUAAAGCCUCUUGGAAGAUGAACUCACAAACCAAAAUUAGCAAACACUUGAAGAAUUAAUUAUUAGUGAAGGCUAGCUCUUACAUGCAUGUACACACACACACACACACACACACACACACACACACACACACACGCUCUAAGAAUCAGAGCUAUAAGAAUUCCAAAUAAUGGAAGUAAUGAGCAGAGCCUAUAAAAAGUACAUUCAAAACAAACACAUGAAGGAAGGAACUGAAAACAUAAAGAACAGGACAGUUUUUAAAGCACCAGGGAUAUGUGAAAAUAACAUCAGUAACAACAUCAGUGAGUUCUAGAAUGAAAAAUUAAAAUUGCUGGCAGUAAAAACUCAAAGGACAAGUAAAAGGCAGAUUAAACCUAAAUGAAGAAGGGAAAAGUGAACCAGAAAAUCUGAGAAAAUAACCCAAGAUACAGCACAGAGAGAUAAAGAGAGAUGAAACAUACUAGACAGGAUAAGAAAUAUGGAGGGAGAAUAAGAAGAUUCUAAAUAUACAUCUGACAGCAAUUCCAGGCAAAGGGAACAAACUUAAUUUUAAAAUUGAGUAUAGAACCCUAAACCCCAAAAUGAGAGAAUCCACAUUUUUCCCAAGCAUUCAAGAACUGUUUAUGAAGAUUGGUCACAAAAUAAGUCUAAUCAAAUAUCAAAUAAUUGAUAUGAAAAACACAUGAACUGAGCACAAAGCAACUAAAGUGAACUCAAUAAUCAAAAGACCAGAUAAAAGACAUUAGAGAAGACUCAAAUAAAUGGUGAGAUCAUCUUUGGUCAUGUAUAGAAAGUACAAAUCCCAGGAAAUUACCAAAAGUAUUUUUCUUGGAACUUGAAAAGCCUAUUCUAAAGUGUAUAUGCAAGAGAAAAUGGCUAAGAUUCACUGAGAAAAUUUUGAAGAAGAAUAAAAUGAAGGAGGGUGGGUUGGGGGUGGGCUGCUUAUCCAUCAUCUUUAUAACAAGAUGCAUUAUAGCAUCAUUUUAAUUUAGACAAUGGUAUUGGCAUAGUGAUAGCCAAAUAAAACAAUAGAACUAAGGAAAAUCACAAAGCAAAUCUAAUAUGGAAACUUGACAGAUGAUAAAUGGGUGUAACAGAUCACUAUGAAAGGGACCGAUUAUUUAUUAAACGGUGCUAAAACAAUUAUCAAUCCAUGUGAGAAAAAAUGUAUGGACCCUUCACAUCAUUGCAAAAAGAAACCACUUAUAAUAAAGAUAUGAAUACCCAAAAGCAAACCUUUAACAUUUUUAGAAAAUGGUAUAGAAAAAUAUUUUUAUGGCCUUGGAGUAGGGAAAAAUUUCUUUAAACUACAUCAAAUCCAUAAAAAAAAGAACUGAUAAAUAUAAAUAUAUGAAGAUUAAAUCUUUUUUCAUAACAAAACACCAUAAAUAAAAGAUAUGAUACCAACCAGAAAAAGAUAUUUGUAGUACCUAAAACCAUAAAGAUUAAGUAACAAAAGUAACAAAUCCUAUAAAUAAAUAAGAAACGAACAACCCAUAGAAAAUAUUUUUUGAAUAAAUAAAUGAUAGAACACAAAAUAAAAUGGCCAAUCAACAUAAAAUAUGUUCAAUUCCAGUAGCAACACCAAAAUGCAAAUUAAAACAAGAUACCAUUGCACACAAAUAAGAUAGGUAAAGAACUCUGAUUUACCACUGGUGGAGGUGAGGUGUAAGUUAGUCCAAUUUGGAUUUGUGGUAGUGACUUGGCAAUAGCUAGUAAUUUGACGAUGUCUAUAUCUUAUGACCCAACAAUUUGACUUCUAGGAAUAUGCCUUAACAAGACUUUAUGUGCACAGGGAGUUAUAGACAAGAAUAUCCACUGUAACACCGUAAAUGCAAAAUAAAAAAUCAUUUUUGAAAACAAAUUUUCUUCAACAAGAGAAUGAAUUAACUGUUAUAUAUCCCCCCCCCCCACCACCACCACUUUCUUUUGAGACAGGGUCUUGCUCUGUUGCCCAGGCUGAAGUGCGGUGGUGCGAUCAUGGCUCACCACUGUCUCAACCUCCCAGGUUCAAAUGAUCCUCCCACCUCAGCCUCCUGAGUAGCUGGAACAACAGGCAUCUGCCACCACACCCAGCUAAUUUCUCUACAAAAAGUAUUUUUUGUAGAGACGGGGUUUUGCCAUGUUGCCCAGGCUUGAACUCCUAGGCUCAAGCAAUCCUCCCGCCUUGGCCUCCCAAAGUGCUGGGAUUACAGGUGUGAGCCACUGUACCUGGCCAAUGUUGUAUAUUCCUAACAGUGAAAUUCAGUAUAGCAAACAUGAAUGAAUGAUAUCUGUGUACUAUUAUAAAUAAAUCUCAAAAACGAUGUUGAGCAGAAAUGAUAUGAUACCAUCUGUAUAAAAAUUAAAAUAUGACAUGUUGGUUAUGGAUAUAUACAAAUUUUCAAAGUAUGAAAACAGGCUUAUGCAUAAAAAAUACCAAAUUCAGGAUAGUACAUAUCUCUGGGGAAGAUGGGAGGGGUAGGGGAAUUUGAUUAAGAAAUGAAACAUGGGAGACUUCAAUACAAUGUAAUGUUUCCUUUCUUAAAAAAUAAUAAAAAAGCAAUUAUUACAAAAUACUAAAAUUUAGCAAAGCUAGGAAUGGAUAAGUGGGCAUUUUUUUCUAUGUUAUUAUGCAUUAUUUUCUAUGUUAUUAUGCAAUUGAAAUGUUUAUAAUUUUAAAAAGCAUAGAAUUGCACAGAAUUACUGACAUUUGUUCAAAUUCACAUAGAAAUGAAAAUUUAAAAAUCAUUACCAAAUAUUUUUUGGAAAAUGAUUCUACAUUAGUAGAGCCAGAAUUCUACCCUUACUCCAAAGCUGGAGUCAUUCCUCAAAUUUCAGACCCCCUCUCCUUUCUUUUUCUGAUCUUACCCUGAGGGUUCAUCAUGUUCUUCUCUGCGCUAGCACGGUACAUUGUUUAAGGCACCACCUUGGCAUUUUGUUUUUAAAACUAAAUUGCAGUUAGUUGUACCUGUGUUUCCUCACCCAGAGACUAAGCUCUUGGGGGCACCAUACCUGGUAUAUGAAAAUACAGAGGGAGAGUGGCUAGGGUGUGGCUUCUACUCCUAACUAACUCUUGUGAUGACUUACCAAAAACUAAUCACCAAGUUCUAUAAAUACUUAUUCUUGCAAAAUAAUCAAUUUCCAAAGAAUGUAAGAGAAUCAAAGAUUGUGUUCCAGCCUUUCUCAUGAAUCAACAGGAGGGGCAGAAUUGUUACAAACAGUAUUUGUGGGAAGAAAUAAACAACCUAUAGUUUAUUUGUUUCACUUGGGGAUUUUCAAGCCCUCAGAAGAGGGAAAGGAAUCUUGCUGAUGUGGAUUGAGCCUACUCCGGUGGUAUAGUCAUGGGCUGGAUUUCAUUACUUAGCCAUAAUUAAGUCAGUUCUCAAAUUAGGUCCCAUUCUAGAAAUGACUGCAGAGAUAAUUCUAUAUUAAACUCCUGGGUUCAUAUAUGUUGAAUAGUACAAUAAAUAUAAACAUAUUAAAUAGCACAGUGCAUAGAAAUUAUACAGUAAAUCAAUAUAAAUUGAAUUAUGUAACAUUGGAAUGGGAUUGUAAAUGAGAGAACCAUCUUGUUCAACCUUUAAAAAUAUUAUCAAGUGGCUUUUCUAAUUGAGAGUACUUUAUGAAAAACAGUAUGAGGGAACAUAAAGUAAUAUAUAUUAUAAUAUUACUUCUCCUUUGAAAGUGUUUUGUCCUUUUCAACAUGAGGAGGUCAGUGUCCCCAAGCAGCCUGCAGCCUCUCCUACAUUUCCCCCUCGCCUCCCAUGGCAACACGGGUUAGCCAGACACUGAGCUUUUUGUGAUGUGUGUGUGAGGACAGAGAGAAGGGGAGCAAAGCUUCAGGGAGGUCUUGAGGUGGAAAAAUUUGUGACGCACACGAUUUGGUGACUGAAGAAGAAUUCUUUCUUGAGGGUUCUAUAACACAAUAGUUACGGUCACCCUAUGUGCAUUUAAAAAUUCCUAGUUGGUCUCAAGCCCUUAAUGCACACCGAAGCCCUUUAAGAGGCUUCUCAAACUACUUGUUCAUGGAAAGAUUAUGAGACAAAGCCAACCUGUGUGGGUUUGGUCCUUCUGUUUCAGAACCUGACUACCAAAGAGCCUGGGAGAAGUACAUAAACUUAUUGAACAUGUAACUCAUAAACUAAAAGAUUCAAACUCUGUACACAGAAUUCUGUAUGCGGUCAUGAAGAAAUCCCUUCUCAUUUAUGAUCAUACAUUUGCCUUAGGGAGUCCGAGUUUGCCCUCUUCACUGCCUUGGGUGCCCCACUAUCUUCCUGAGGUAGGCACAGUCCUCCUGCAAGUUUCUCCCUGAGAGAAGAGCACCUCCAACCUCCAACAGAAUUGAUGAGGACUGAAAUGCUGUUGCCCUUGUCUUAGAAAAUGCCUCCUUCAUAGCUUUCCUGGCAUAGCUAAAUGUGAGAUAGGGCUAAGCCUGUGAGAUCAGGCUAAUGGCCUGAUAUGCAUGCCACACCUGAUACUUUAGAAGGAAGCCAGCCAAGGAAGUGUUUUUUCCCCCACUUAGUAAUAAAGCUAAAAUUCUCUCGCUCGUCAAAGUCUAGUUAACACAUUAGCAGCCCCCUCCCCCUUUUCUGGUCUCCUGUCAUUAUCUUCCAUACAAGAGAGAGGGCUUGAUAAUAACAUAUCUUAAAGGGGUUUUUAAUUGCUCCUUACAGUGAAUGCUGAAUCUAACGCUUUAAAAACAACUGAGUAGAAUGCCACUUAAAAGCGCUUCCUCCAGGUUUCUCACCACCUCUCUCAGUACCACGGCACUCCCAGCCAGGGGAGAGUUGCUCAUUUCUGCAAAGAUUAGAAGCAGGUCCAACAGAACUUCUUCAGCAGAAUCUGAGAAUGCUCAUUUGUGAACAAACUGUCUGCUUUCCAACGUCCCGUCACUUACUGGACUUUUGCCAGCCCCAGGAAACACCAUAAUGAAACACUCACAUUUAUGAAAUUCACAAUUAGGGACCGUGGCUCUAGCAACAUUAGCUCAGAGAGCAUCAACUUUAAAUAUGCUCAAAAAUCAAACUGGAGAGCUUACAGUAUCCCAUCGUGGCCAUCCCUUUUCGUUUUGGAACUGAGAUUGGACCAAUUGUUAUGAAAGGCUGCAUGUUUUAGUCUUCCCUGGUCUUUCCCUCUUGGGUGGCUUGGGUUUGUGCAAUACAGUACUUAGUGAAGGAAAAGCAGAGCCCAGCUCAGGACUUCUUAAGUGAGGGAACAGAAUCCAAUGAGAAGCCCUUAAAUGUGUGUCAAAAUGAAGAUCUACCAAAGAGUGAAGGCACCUACUAAAGGCUAUUACCUCAUAAGGCUCAAAGGGCGGGUGGGGGGUGCCCACAGUAUGCAAUCACCACCCCCCACAGGACAGCAGGCUUGGUCAAUGGCUGAACAUAUAAGCAUUCCCCAAUGGUACCACUCAGCCAGCCACCUUUGCAUCAGAAGCCAAAGUAUCCUUGAGCUACAUCUUGACAUCAGGAUACUCCCUGGAGCAUAAAGAAAUGCAGGAAUUUACAGCGUGGAGGUUCCUAAGCCUUAAAGAGUUAAUGCAGCAAAGGAAAUGCCUAAGUUAACCUUAGAAUUGUAUUCACUAGCUAGAUUUACUUGAUUUUAUUUUUACAGAAAUUUGACAAAAGAAGCAAUCUGUAAAUGCAAUGAAAACAGCUUCCUCCAUAUGUCUCACUACUGGCAUGAGCACGGAGCCGCGCCACCCCAUCGUACCUCCGUGUGUCAGAUUACGGGCUCAGAAUACCCCUCGGAAACACUCAGACUUCUAGCUGUUCCAAGAAAGCCGUAGGGCUUUCAAUAAUAAGCUGUAAAACGAGCUUAAGAGUCACUGAGGUUGCUGUGCAAAUGUAUAACCCUCACCGGAAAUGCUAUGGACUGAAUUGUGUCCCCGUAAGUCAUAUGUUGAAGCUGUAACCUCAAAAGUAACUAUAUUUGGAGAUAGGGCUUUUAGGAGGUAAUUAAGGUUAAAUAAGAUCCUAAGCAUGGGGUCCUAAUCCAACAGGACUGGAGGAUUCAUGAGAAGAGGAAGAGAAAGAGAUCUCUUCUUCUCUUCACAUGCAUGAACUGAGAAAAGACCAUGUGAGCACACAGCAAGAAGGCAGCCGCCUGCAAGCCAGGAAGAGAACCCUCCCUAGCCCCUGACCAUGUUGACACCCUGAUCUUGGACUUCCCGUCUCCAGAACUGUGAGAAAAUGAAUGUUUGCUGUUUAAGUCACCCAGUCUACGGUAUUUUGUUAUAGCAGCCUGAGCCGACUAAGACAGAAAGAAAAAUGUAUUUUAGUUAAUGCCAUAUGUGUAGGUGUACACAUAUGAAUUUUAAAAUUAACCAGGGUGAUGGAGUGAGCUGCUUCACUCAGGCAUCUGACAGUUACUCUUGCCAAGUUUUAUCUCAAUACACAGAGAUCUGAGACUGCAUCCAAAGCAUCUGAAAGAGGGUGUGCCUAUGGAAUAGGUUUUUAUAUAGCUUAUGCUGUAAAGCCUGUUCCUAGCAUCUAUUUUUUUAAAAGAAGUUCACUGUAAGCUUAUGAACUCAUCGUGAUAAACCUAGACUUGAACAUUUACAGCAAAUAAUAACUGGAAGGUUAAACUAUGACAUCAUGAGGUCCCAUCCAGCUCUGGAUUUUGAUGGACAUUUUUUGACCAGUACUUCCUUAGUUUGCCAGGAUGGAAGACCUAAAAAUGAACUGCAUUUUGCAGUGAAUUAUACCUAAUUAAAGUUUAAUGACUAGAUUACAUUCCUGUCUGAUAUGGUUUGAUUCUGUGUCCCCACCCAAAUCUCUCUUGAAUUGUAAUCCCCAUGUGUUGAGGGGGAAACCUGGUGGAAGGUGGUUUGAUCAUGGGGGUGGUUCCCCCUAUGCUCUUCUCAUGAGAAGAUGAGAUAGUGAGUUCUCAUGAGAUCUGAUGGCUUAUAAGUGGCAGUUUCCCCAGUGCUCUCUCUCCUGCAGCCCUGUAAGAUAUGAUUUGCUUCUCCUUUGCCUUCUGCCAUGAUUGUAAGUUUCCUGAGGCCUCCUCAGCCAUGUGGAAUUGUCAGUCAAUUAAACCUCCUUUCUUUAUAAAUUAGUCUCACGUAGUAUCUUUAUAGCAGCGUGAGAACAGACUAAUACACUAUCCUACAGUAACAUAGAAACAUAUAUGCUGAACUCUUCAACAUAACCUUAUGUGUUUCCUUUUAAUGUUAUCAUUAACCCUUCAGGCCACAAUACAACCAAGUGGAUCCAGUGAAAGACCAUCCUUAAUAGAAAUGUCUCAGAUACAGCUAAAGGCAAGAGCAAAUCUAGAAAACACCCAUUUUCUCAGACCACACUGAAAGAGGGCAUCAUAUUGGCAAUCUAUCUAUUCAACUGUUAGACCAAACAUUAGAGAAACCUAUGCCAUUGUUUUCUUCGUAAAAGGUUAAGAGUGGUAAUAUCAACAUCUAGCAUUCAGCCACAUCAAUCCUAAUAUGUCCUAUUCUAGUUAGGAGAGUGCAUAUAAGUCAAAUGACCUUCCUGAGUCCUGCCAUUUUAUAACAUGAAAUAAAAAAUCUAAGUAAUGUUAAGUUAAUAUGUUCUGAAUUCUUCUAGAAUCCAGAAGCCAAAAUGGAGUAAUAACACAUUCCUUACUAUUACCUCAUAGUUGUCUUAAAUGUCAUAAAUAAAUUUGUCUGUGUUUGAAUAUACAACUACAGUCAGCCCUCUGUAUCAAUGGGUUCCAUAUCCAUGAAUAUAAUCAACCACGGAUCAAAAACAUUUGGAUAAAAAAAGGAUGGUUGUGUCUGUACUGAACAUGUACAGACCUUUUCAUGUCAUUAUUCCCUCAAUAAUAUAGUGUGUCAACUGUUUACAUAGUAUUUAUAUUGUAUUAGGUAUUAUAAGUAAUCUAGAAAUGAUUUAAAGCAUAUGUAGGAUGUGCAUAAAUUAUAUGCAAAUACUACACCAUUUUAUAGCAGGGACUUGAGUAUCUGUGAAUUUUGGUAUCAGGAGUCCCAGUACCAAUCCCCUGCAGAUACUAAGGGAUGACUGAAUAUAGCUUAAAAAUGGGCAUAUGCAUGUUCAAACAGAAGCUCUGAUAAUGGCAAGUAUGGAAUAAAUAGAUUUCAGUUCAACAUUUAUUAAUUA